rnacentral:rRNA from 1 species
UACGGAGGGUGCAAGCGUUGUCCGGAAUCACUGGGCGUAAAGGGCGCGUAGGCGGCUCAUGAAGGCUGUGGUGAAAGUCCGGGGCUCAACCUCGGAUCGGCCGUGGCGACUCGUGGGCUGGAGCACUGUAGAGGCGGGUGGAAUUCCGGGUGUAGCGGUGGAAUGCGUAGAGAUCCGGAAGAACACCAGUGGCGAAGGCGGCCCGCUGGGCAGUGGCUGACGCUGAGGCGCGACAGCGAGGGGAGCAAACAGG